rnacentral:rRNA from 1 species
CGAACGAACUCUUCGGAGUUAGUGGCGGACGGGUGAGUAACACGUGGGAACGUGCCUUUUGGUUCGGAAUAACUCAGGGAAACUUGUGCUAAUACCGAAUGUGCCCUUCGGGGGAAAGAUUUAUCGCCAUUAGAGCGGCCCGCGUCUGAUUAGCUAGUUGGUGAGGUAAAGGCUCACCAAGGCGACGAUCAGUAGCUGGUCUGAGAGGAUGAUCAGCCACAUUGGGACUGAGACACGGCCCAAACUCCUACGGGAGGCAGCAGUGGGGAAUCUUGCGCAAUGGGCGAAAGCCUGACGCAGCCAUGCCGCGUGAAUGAUGAAGGUCUUAGGAUUGUAAAAUUCUUUCAGUAGGGACGAUAAUGACGGUACCUACAGAAGAAGCCCCGGCUAACUUCGUGCCAGCAGCCGCGGUAAUACGAAGGGGGCUAGCGUUGCUCGGAAUUACUGGGCGUAAAGGGAGCGUAGGCGGACAUUUAAGUCAGGGGUGAAAUCCCGGGGCUCAACCUCGGAAUUGCCUUUGAUACUGGGUGUCUUGAGUAUGAGAGAGGUAUGUGGAACUCCGAGUGUAGAGGUGAAAUUCGUAGAUAUUCGGAAGAACACCAGUGGCGAAGGCGACAUACUGGCUCAUUACUGACGCUGAGGCUCGAAAGCGUGGGGAGCAAACAGGAUUAGAUACCCUGGUAGUCCACGCCGUAAACGAUGAUUGCUAGUUGUCGGGAUGCAUGCAUUUCGGUGACGCAGCUAACGCAU